GUGACGACGGGGCUUGCCCUGUCUGAUCAGUGGCGAACGGGUGAGUAACACGUGAGUAACCUGCCCUUGACUCUGGGAUAACCGCGGGAAACGGCGGCUAAUACCGGAUAUGAGACGUACAGGCAUCUGUUGCGUCUGGAAAGAUUUAUCGGUCAAGGAUGGGCUCGCGGCCUAUCAGCUUGUUGGUGGGGUGAUGGCCUACCAAGGCGACGACGGGUAGCCGGCCUGAGAGGGCGACCGGCCACACUGGGACUGAGACACGGCCCAGACUCCUACGGGAGGCAGCAGUGGGGAAUAUUGCACAAUGGGCGCAAGCCUGAUGCAGCGACGCCGCGUGAGGGAUGAAGGCCUUCGGGUUGUAAACCUCUUUCAGCAGGGAAGAAGCGAAAGUGACGGUACCUGCAGAAGAAGCGCCGGCUAACUACGUGCCAGCAGCCGCGGUAAUACGUAGGGCGCAAGCGUUGUCCGGAAUUAUUGGGCGUAAAGAGCUCGUAGGCGGUUUGUCGCGUCUGCUGUGAAAACCUGAGGCUCAACCUCGGGCUUGCAGUGGGUACGGGCAGACUAGAGUGCGGUAGGGGUGACUGGAAUUCCUGGUGUAGCGGUGGAAUGCGCAGAUAUCAGGAGGAACACCGAUGGCGAAGGCAGGUCACUGGGCCGCAACUGACGCUGAGGAGCGAAAGCAUGGGGAGCGAACAGGAUUAGAUACCCUGGUAGUCCAUGCCGUAAACGUUGGGCACUAGGUGUGGGGCUCAUUCCACGAGUUCCGUGCCGCAGCAAACGCAUUAAGUGCCCCGCCUGGGGAGUACGGCCGCAAGGCUAAAACUCAAAGAAAUUGACGGGGGCCCGCACAAGCGGCGGAGCAUGCGGAUUAAUUCGAUGCAACGCGAAGAACCUUACCAAGGCUUGACAUACACCGGAAAAGUGCAGAGAUGUGCUCCCCGCAAGGUCGGUGUACAGGUGGUGCAUGGUUG
rnacentral:rRNA from 1 species